rnacentral:rRNA from 1 species
UUUUAAGUAUAAAUUGAUUAUUUCUACCAGAGCACUAUGAGUUUUACACUUAAAACUCAAAGGACUUGGCGGUGCUUUAGACUUCUCAGGGGAACCUGUUUCGUAAUCGACAGUCCACGUGACACCUUUCCUUCUUUUGUUUUCAGUUUGUAUACCGUCGUCGCCAGGUAACUUUUAAAAAUACUAGAAGUUAGCAAUAAAGCCUAAUAUAAUUAGCUUUUACGUCAGAUCAAGGUGCAGCCUAUAAGAAGGUGAAAAUGGGUUACAAUUAAAAAUUAUAAUUACGGAGAAAGAAUGAAAUUUUUGCCCGAAGGAGGACUUGAAAGUAAAGAUUUAAUUAAUAUAAAUUUCUUGAAUUAAGCUCUGAAGCGUGC